GACGAACGCUGGCGGCGUGCCUAACACAUGCAAGUCGAACGGGGUGAUUUCCUUCGGGAGAUCACUUAGUGGCGAACGGGUGAGUAACGCGUGAGGAACCUGCCUCUCAGUGGGGGACAACAGUUGGAAACGACUGCUAAUACCGCAUAAUAUAUUCGGACCGCAUGAUCUGAAUAUCAAAGAUUUAUUGCUGAGAGAUGGCCUCGCGUCUGAUUAGCUAGUUGGUGAGGUAACGGCCCACCAAGGCGACGAUCAGUAGCCGGACUGAGAGGUUGACCGGCCACAUUGGGACUGAGAUACGGCCCAGACUCCUACGGGAGGCAGCAGUGGGGAAUAUUGGGCAAUGGGCGCAAGCCUGACCCAGCAACGCCGCGUGAAGGAAGAAGGCUUUCGGGUUGUAAACUUCUUUUACCAGGGUACGAAGGACGUGACGGUACCUGAUGAAUAAGCCACGGCUAACUACGUG
rnacentral:rRNA from 1 species